ACUCCUACGGGAGGCAGCAGUGGGAAUCUUGGGACAAUGGGGCAACCCUGAUCCAGCCAUGCCGCGUGAGUGAUGAAGGCCUUAGGGUCGUAAAGCUCUUUCGCCUGUGAAGAUAAUGACGGUAGCAGGUAAAGAAACCCCGCGUACAUCCGUGCCAGCAGCCGCGGUAAUACGGAGGGGGUUAGCGUUGUUCGGAAUUACUGGGCGUAAAGCGCACGUAGGCGGAUCGGAAAGUUGGGG
rnacentral:rRNA from 1 species